AGUGAACGCUGGCGGUAGGCCUAACACAUGCAAGUCGAACGGCAGCACAGUAAGAGCUUGCUCUUACGGGUGGCGAGUGGCGGACGGGUGAGGAAUACAUCGGAAUCUACUUUUUCGUGGGGGAUAACGUAGGGAAACUUACGCUAAUACCGCAUACGACCUACGGGUGAAAGCAGGGGAUCUUCGGACCUUGCGCGAUUGAAUGAGCCGAUGUCGGAUUAGCUAGUUGGCGGGGUAAAGGCCCACCAAGGCGACGAUCCGUAGCUGGUCUGAGAGGAUGAUCAGCCACACUGGAACUGAGACACGGUCCAGACUCCUACGGGAGGCAGCAGUGGGGAAUAUUGGACAAUGGGGGCAAGCCUGAUCCAGCCAUACCGCGUGUGUGAAGAAGGCCUUCGGGUUGUAAAGCCCUUUUGUGGGGAAAGAAAAGCAGCAGGUUAAUACCCCGCUGUUCUGACGGUACCCAAAGAAUAAGCACCGGCUAACUUCGUG
rnacentral:rRNA from 1 species